GGAACGUACCCUUUACUACGGAAUAACGCAUGGAAACGUGUGCUAAUACCGUAUGUGCCCUUUGGGGGAAAGAUUUAUCGGUAAAGGAUCGGCCCGCGUUGGAUUAGCUAGUUGGUGGGGUAAAGGCCUACCAAGGCGACGAUCCAUAGCUGGUCUGAGAGGAUGAUCAGCCACAUUGGGACUGAGACACGGCCCAAACUCCUACGGGAGGCAGCAGUGGGGAAUAUUGGACAAUGGGCGCAAGCCUGAUCCAGCCAUGCCGCGUGAGUGAUGAAGGCCUUAGGGUUGUAAAGCUCUUUCACCGGUGAAGAUAAUGACGGUAACCGGAGAAGAAGCCCCGGCUAACUUCGUGCCAGCAGCCGCGGUAAUACGAAGGGGGCUAGCGUUGUUCGGAUUUACUGGGCGUAAAGCGCACGUAGGCGGAUCGAUCAGUCAGGGGUGAAAUCCCAGAGCUCAACUCUGGAACUGCCUUUGAUACUGUCGAUCUGGAGUAUGGAAGAGGUGAGUGGAAUUCCGAGUGUAGAGGUGAAAUUCGUAGAUAUUCGGAGGAACACCAGUGGCGAAGGCGGCUCACUGGUCC
rnacentral:rRNA from 1 species